rnacentral:siRNA from 1 species
UGGGAAUACAUGUAUACUAUU